GACGAACGCUGGCGGCAUGCCUAAUACAUGCAAGUCGAGCGAACAGAUGAAGUGCUUGCACUUCUGACGUUAGCGGCGAACGGGUGAGUAACACGUAAGGAAUCUACCUAUAAGCGGGGGAUAACAUUCGGAAACGGGUGCUAAUACCGCAUAAUAUCUUCUUCCGCAUGGAAGAAGAUUGAAAGACGGCUCUGCUGUCACUUAUAGAUGACCUUGCGGUGCAUUAGUUAGUUGGUGGGGUAAUGGCCUACCAAGACGAUGAUGCAUAGCCGACCUGAGAGGGUGAUCGGCCACAUUGGGACUGAGACACGGCCCAAACUCCUACGGGAGGCAGCAGUAGGGAAUCGUCCGCAAUGGGCGAAAGCCUGACGGAGCAAUGCCGCGUGAGUGAAGAAGGCCUUCGGGUCGUAAAACUCUGUUAUAAGAGAAGAGCAAAUUGUAGAGUAACUGCUACAGUCUUGACGGUAUCUUAUCAGAAAGCCACGGCUAACUACGUGCCAGCAGCCGCAGUAA
rnacentral:rRNA from 1 species